rnacentral:rRNA from 1 species
UACGAGGGGGGCGAGCGUUGUUCGGAAUUAUUGGGCGUAAAGGGUGCGUAGGCGGUUUUGUAAGUCUUAUGUGAAAUCUACAGGCUCAACUUGUAGUCUGCAUGAGAAACUGCAGGGCUUGAGUAUGGGAGAGGUGAGUGGAAUUCCUGGUGUAGCGGUGAAAUGCGUAGAUAUCAGGAGGAACACCUGUGGUGUAGACAGCUUACUGGACCAUUUCUGACGCUGAGACACGAAAGCGUGGGUAGCAAACAGG